GAGGGUAUAGCUCAAGUGGUAAAGUGCAAGCUUAGCAUGCAUGAGGCCCUGGGUCCAAUCCCCAGUAACUCCU
rnacentral:tRNA from 1 species